rnacentral:rRNA from 1 species
GACGAACGCUGGCGGCGUGCCUAAUACAUGCAAGUCGAACGCACGAAGUUGAAGAGCUUGCUCUUUAACCAAGUGAGUGGCGGACGGGUGAGUAACACGUGGGUAACCUGCCCAUUAGAGGGGGAUAACAUUCGGAAACGGAUGCUAAUACCGCAUAGUUUCAGGGAUCGCAUGAUUCUUGAAGGAAAGGUGGCUCCGGCUACCACUAAUGGAUGGACCCGCGGCGUAUUAGCUAGUUGGUGAGGUAAUGGCUCACCAAGGCAAUGAUACGUAGCCGACCUGAGAGGGUGAUCGGCCACACUGGGACUGAGACACGGCCCAGACUCCUACGGGAGGCAGCAGUAGGGAAUCUUCCGCAAUGGGCGAAAGCCUGACGGAGCAACGCCGCGUGAGUGAAGAAGGAUUUCGGUUCGUAAAGCUCUGUUGUUAGGGAAGAAUGAUUGUGUAGUAACUAUACACAGUAGAGACGGUACCUAACCAGAAAGCCACGGCUAACUACGUGCCAGCAGCCGCGGUAAUACGUAGGUGGCAAGCGUUGUCCGGAAUUAUUGGGCGUAAAGCGCGCGCAGGUGGUUUAAUAAGUCUGAUGUGAAAGCCCACGGCUCAACCGUGGAGGGUCAUUGGAAACUGUUAAACUUGAGUGCAGGAGAGAAAAGUGGAAUUCCUAGUGUAGCGGUGAAAUGCGUAGAGAUUAGGAGGAACACCAGUGGCGAAGGCGGCUUUUUGGCCUGUAACUGACACUGAGGCGCGAAAGCGUGGGGAGCAAACAGG